AUGCAAGUCGCACGAGAAAGGGUAGCAAUACCUGAGUAAAGUGGCGCACGGGUGAGUAACACGUGACUAACCUACCCUCGAGUGGGGAAUAACCUAGAGAAAUCUGGGCUAAUACCGCAUAACACUUACGAGUCAAAGCAGCAAUGCGCUUGGGGAGGGGGUCGCGGCCGAUUAGCUAGUUGGCGGGGUAAUGGCCCACCAAGGCGAUGAUCGGUAUCCGGCCUGAGAGGGCGCACGGACACACUGGAACUGAAACACGGUCCAGACUCCUACGGGAGGCAGCAGUGGGGAAUUUUGCGCAAUGGGGGAAACCCUGACGCAGCAACGCCGCGUGGAGGAUGAAAUAUCUUGGUAUGUAAACUCCUUUCGAUGGGGAAGAUUAUGACGGUACCCAUAGAAGAAGCCCCGGCUAACUUCGUGCCAGCAGCCGCGGUAAUACGAGGGGGGCAAGCGUUGUUCGGAUUUAUUGGGCGUAAAGGGUGCGUAGGCGGUUUGGCAAGUCUGAUGUGAAAUCUAUGGGCUCAACCCAUAGUCUGCAUCAGAAACUGCCGGGCUUGAGUAUGGGAGAGGUGAGUGGAAUUUCCGGUGUAGCGGUGAAAUGCGUAGAUAUCGGAAGGAACACCUGUGGCGAA
rnacentral:rRNA from 1 species